rnacentral:rRNA from 1 species
GAUCCUGGCUCAGAUUGAACGCUGGCGGCAGGCCUAACACAUGCAAGUCGAACGGUAACAGAAAGCAGCUUGCUGCUUUGCUGACGAGUGGCGGACGGGUGAGUAAUGUCUGGGAAACUGCCCGAUGGAGGGGGAUAACUACUGGAAACGGUAGCUAAUACCGCAUAACGUCGCAAGACCAAAGAGGGGGACCUUCGGGCCGUCUUGCCAUCGGAUGUGCCCACGAUGGGAGUUAGCUAGUAGGUGGGUAACGGG